rnacentral:tRNA from 1 species
GGGCAGGUAGCUCAGUGGUAGAGCGGAAGAUUGCAGUACUCAGCUUGAGAACGCUGCAGACAUCUUUAGGUCGCGUGUUCGAUCCACGCCCGGCCCU